UGAGGAAUAUUGGGCAAUGCCCGCAAGGGUGACCAGCAACGCCGCGCGGAGGAUGAAGGUCGUAAGAUUGUAAACUCCUGUUAGAGGGGAAGAAUAACUAAGUUUGGAGCUUAGUAUGACUGUACCCUCAGAGAAAGCCCCGGCUAACUACGUGCCAGCAGCCGCGGUAAUACGUAGGGGGCAAGCGUUGUCCGGAUUUACUGGGUGUAAAGGGCGCGCAGGCGGAAUGGAAAGUCAGUGGUGAAAUCCUACAGCUUAACUGUAGAACUGCCUUUGAUACUUUCAUUCGUGAGUUCGGGAGAGAGAGACGGAAUUCCAGGUGUAGUGGUGAAAUACGUAGAUAUCUGGAAGAACACCAGUUGCGAAGGCGGUCUCUUGGUCCGAUACUGACGCUGAGGCGCGAAAGCGUGGGGAGCAAACA
rnacentral:rRNA from 1 species